UAAUACUUGAUAAGAGAUAUUCCCUGGAAUGAUUUAUCUCAAAAAUUUGUGCUAUAGGAUGAGGCUGCGGCGGAUUAGGUUGUUGGCGGGAUAAAAGCCCACCAAGCCGAAGAUCCGUAAGGGCUCUUAGCGGGGAGGCCCUGAGAGGGAAUCUGAGACACUAUUCCCAGCCCUACGGGGUGCAGCAGCCGGGAAUCAUCUGCAAUGCGCGAAAGCGUGACAGUUUGAACUGGAGUGCUUUCCAAAUGGAAAGCUUUUGUGAAAUGUAAAAAGUUUUACGAAUAAGGACUGGGUAAGACGAGUGCCAGCCGCCGCGGUAAUACUCGCGGUCCAAGUCGCAGCCAUUUUUAUUGGGUCUAAAACAUCCGUAGCUUGCUUUGUAAGUUCUUUGUGAAAUCUCAUCUCUCAAGGGUGGGGAGGGCAAAGAGUACUGCAAUGGCUAGAGAUUGGAAGACGUAAGAAGUAUGUUCGAAGUAGCGGUAAAAUGUGUUAAUCUCGAACAGACUAACAAGAGCGAAGGCAUCUUACGAGGACAGUUCUGACAGUAAGGGAUGAAGGCUAGGGUCGCGAAAGGGAUUAGAUACCCCUGUAGUCCUAGCAGUAAACGCUGUACACUAAACAU
rnacentral:rRNA from 1 species